CCUCUCCCAACUAACUAUUAUCGUUCAUGUUGUAUGGUGAAAAACACAACUCAUCUACCUUUUUCAAAUGGCUUAAACCUGUUUGCCCUGCUAUAAAUUCACCAAAAAUCUCCAUUGAUUCAGUAUAUCUGCAUCUUGAAUACACUUUCUGAUCUUCUAAUCUAACCCCAAAUGGCGCCUUGGUUUUUUGUUCUUCUCUUCUUAGUCGCCAAAGCUCAUGCUACGAUGACCAACCAAAUCGACCUGCAAGCAGCGAUGGACGAGAUGAGAUUAAAAUCUUACCAUGGCUUUGCCAUACUACUCAAGAUCUUGAACAGCACCACUAAAACCUUGCAGAAUUCAAAUAUAACCUUCUUCAUGCCUACUGAUCAGGAACUUUCUCAAGCUGAUAUCUCCCCGGACCGACUUGAAGAAUUCGUUUUGAGCCAUUCUAUCCCCACAGCAUUACUACUCAACAAUCUUUUACACUUCCCGA
rnacentral:lncRNA from 1 species